AGAGUUUGAUCAUGGCUCAGAUUGAACGCUGGCGGCAGGCCUAACACAUGCAAGUCGAGCGGUAGCACAGAGAGCUUGCUCUCGGGUGACGAGCGGCGGACGGGUGAGUAAUGUCUGGGAAACUGCCUGAUGGAGGGGGAUAACUACUGGAAACGGUAGCUAAUACCGCAUAAUGUCGCAAGACCAAAGUGGGGGACCUUCGGGCCUCAUGCCAUCAGAUGUGCCCAGAUGGGAUUAGCUAGUAGGUGGGGUAACGGCUCACCUAGGCGACGAUCCCUAGCUGGUCUGAGAGGAUGACCAGCCACACUGGAACUGAGACACGGUCCAGACUCCUACGGGAGGCAGCAGUGGGGAAUAUUGCACAAUGGGCGCAAGCCUGAUGCAGCCAUGCCGCGUGUGUGAAGAAGGCCUUCGGGUUGUAAAGCACUUUCAGCGGGGAGGAAGGCGGUGAGGUUAAUAACCUCAUCGAUUGACGUUACCCGCAGAAGAAGCACCGGCUAACUCCGUGCCAGCAGCCGCGGUAAUACGGAGGGUGCAAGCGUUAAUCGGAAUUACUGGGCGUAAAGCGCACGCAGGCGGUCUGUCAAGUCGGAUGUGAAAUCCCCGGGCUCAACCUGGGAACUGCAUUCGAAACUGGCAGGCUAGAGUCUUGUAGAGGGGGGUAGAAUUCCAGGUGUAGCGGUGAAAUGCGUAGAGAUCUGGAGGAAUACCGGUGGCGAAGGCGGCCCCCUGGACAAAGACUGACGCUCAGGUGCGAAAGCGUGGGGAGCAAACAGGAUUAGAUACCCUGGUAGUCCACGCCGUAAACGAUGUCGAUUUGGAGGUUGUGCCCUUGAGGCGUGGCUUCCGGAGCUAACGCGUUAAAUCGACCGCCUGGGGAGUACGGCCGCAAGGUUAAAACUCAAAUGAAUUGACGGGGGCCCGCACAAGCGGUGGAGCAUGUGGUUUAAUUCGAUGCAACGCGAAGAACCUUACCUGGUCUUGACAUCC
rnacentral:rRNA from 1 species